AAUCCGUAUUCUGGAUAGAACAGCAAGAGGUUAGUGACACCCGUCUCAUCAGGCAAAGACAAAGCUACCCCUUGUUUACCCAAGUUUGGCUUUUGGUCUGUGCCCAUGGCUUGUUCAUGUCCUGGGCACACGG
ensembl:snoRNA